rnacentral:rRNA from 1 species
CCUACGGGAGACAGCAGUGGGGGAUAUUGCACAAUGGAGGAAACUCUGAUGCAGCGACGCCGCGUGAGGGAAGACGGUCUUCGGAUUGUAAACCUCUGUCUGUGGGGAAGAAAAUGACGGUACCCAAAGAGGAAGCCGCGGCUAACUACGUGCCAGCAGCCGCGGUAAUACGUAGGGAGCGAGCGUUGUCCGGAAUUACGGGGUGUAAAGGGAGCGUAGGCGGGAGGGAAAGUUGAAUGUUAAAUUUACCGGCUUAACUGGUAAGUGCGUUGAAAACUUCUUGUCUUGAGUGAAGGAGAGGCAGGCGGAAUGCGUAGUGUAGCGGUGAAAUGCGUAGAUAUUACGCAGAACACCAGUGGCGAAGGCAGCAUGCUGGGUUUUAACUGACGCUGAGGCUCGAAAGCGUGGGGAGCGAACAGGAUUAGAUACCCUUGUAGUC